rnacentral:tRNA from 1 species
CAAAGUAUAGCUUAUAUAAAGCAUCUGACUUACACUCAGAAGAACUCAUACAGAUGAAUACUUUGA